rfam:Triticum urartu cultivar G1812 contig77419, whole genome shotgun sequence.
CUUGUACUCCCUCCGUCCGGAAAUACUUGUCCUAGGAAUGGAUGUAUUUAUAGAUACAUCCAUUUUAUUCAUUUCUAGGACAAGUAUUUCCGGACGGAGGGAGUAUUAU